UACAGAGGUCCCAAGCGUUGUUCGGAUUCAUUGGGCGUAAAGGGUGCGUAGGCGGCGCGGUAAGUCGGGUGUGAAAUCUCGGGGCUUAACUCCGAAACUGCAUUCGAUACUGUCCGACUCGAAGGCAGGAGAGGGAAGCGGAAUUCCCGGUGUAGUGGUGAAAUGCGUAGAUAUCGGGAGGAACACCAGUGGCGAAGGCGGCUUUCUGGCCUGUUCUUGACGCUGAGGCGCGAAAGCUAGGGGAGCGAACGGG
rnacentral:rRNA from 1 species